UGGGACUGCUGUCUGCUGCCACCGAAAUGCGUCUCACAGCAACUCUGUCCACAGGUUACUGUUACCCUCUAGUGCCCCUGUGCCCGCCGUCGGAGUCUGUCAACACCACAGAAAAAGAGCUUUAUUUGUGAAAGACCUCCUAACACUUGAUGAUCAUGGAAUUAUUCUCAGAUUCUCCAUCAACUGAAAAGGGUUAAGACAGAAAUGAAAAUUCAUCUUGAAGGGUGCUAGACAGCAUGGGGAUGAAAGGUUCCUUGAAAGUGUGAAAGGGACAGAGACUGCUUCAUAGAUCCAGAACCACAGACUGACAAAGACCGGGGCAAAGUGAGCUGAAAAUGCAGUCCCAGCAGCAAUCAAC